rnacentral:rRNA from 5 species
CUGACCUCAAAUCAGGUAGG